GACGAACGCUGGCGGCGUGCUUAACACAUGCAAGUCGAACGGAAAGGCCCUGCUUUUGUGGGGUGCUCGAGUGGCGAACGGGUGAGUAACACGUGAGUAACCUGCCCUUGACUUUGGGAUAACUUCAGGAAACUGGGGCUAAUACCGGAUAGGAGCUCCUGCUGCAUGGUGGGGGUUGGAAAGUUUCGGCGGUUGGGGAUGGACUCGCGGCUUAUCAGCUUGUUGGUGGGGUAGUGGCUUACCAAGGCUUUGACGGGUAGCCGGCCUGAGAGGGUGACCGGCCAAAUUGGGACUGGGGUACGGGCCAGAAUCCUAAGGGAGGCAGCAGUGGGGAAUAUUGCACAAUGGGCGGAAGCCUGAUGCAGCCACGCCGCGUGCGGGAUGACGGCCUUCGGGUUGUAAACCGCUUUCGCCUGUGACGAAGCGUGAGUGAAGGUAAUGGGUAAAGAAGCAACGGCUAACUACGUG
rnacentral:rRNA from 1 species